GAGCGGCGGAUAGAGCGCCCUCAGUCGCCACGAAAGAAGGCGGGAUAUUCGGGUUAUUUCUGACACGGCGGGUGAUACCGGAAGCGGUGGGAGAUCCGGGUUUUAGCGUAGCGCUGAGGGGAUUGGCCCUUCCGGAGCUCGUUUCGUGCCAUGAAGAUACCCGCUUAACCGUCUGCGUGUCCGCCUAUAUUUUCAAAAUUCAGCCCUUUUGUGGGGAAAUGCCGAGUUUAUUUCAUGGGGUUUACGACUGCGUGGAACAUAUAUAUGUAUGAAACUGCCUCUGCGCUACAGGGAAGGUGGUCACGCAGCAGCUUCAGAAGAUCCUCAGGAUUUAUGUGGAUCCCUUUCAGUCUGGAUUCAGGCCUGGCUCCAGGAAAUGAACUUUUUCUGCUAUCGCACCCAUGUUGGGUAAUAUGCCCUCAGAAAUGACAUCAGUUUCAUCUCGUGAGUUUUUGAAGGUCCCUCAAGAUCUGGUUAUGUCAGCAGGCCUAAAGACCUGAGUGAACUAGUGAGGUGGGUCUGUUAUUAUUAACAUCCCCAUUUAUUUUAUUUUAUUUUCUUGUUUUUGUCUUCUGAAGAAAAGUAUUAUUUUUAUAGUUCUAAUGUUUUUACAAUUAUUUUUAAAUAACUACAAUUAUUAUUUUCAGUAAUGAUGGUUUUAUAUGUAUUGUUUUAUUGGAUGUUGUACACUGCUGAGUCACUUUUUGUGAUAUGGACAGCCAUAUAAAUUUGAUAAAUAUAAUUUAUUAUUUAUUUUUUAUUUAUUAAAUUUUUAUACCGCCCUUCUCCCGAAGGACUCAGGGCGGUGUACAGCCAAAAAUAAAACACAAGAUAUAUACAAUUAAAACAACAGUUAAAACAUAGCAGAUUAUAAAAGGCUGAUAAUUAAAAAUUAAAUUUUAAAUUUUAAAAUAUUAACAAAACCCCAAAUUAAAAAUUCAACACUAUUAUGCCAGUAAUAAUAGCGAUUGUGAAAGCACUUAAGACUUAUAUACCGCUUCAUUGUGCUUCACAGCCCUCUCUAAGCGGUUUAGAGUCAGCCUAUUGCCCCUAACAAUCCAAGUCCUCAUUUUACCCACCUCGGAAGGAUGGAAGGCUGAGUCAACCUUGAGCCGGUGAGAUUCGAUCUGCUGAACUGCAGCUAGCAGACGGCUGAAGUAGCCUGCAGAACUGCAAUCUAACCAUUGCACCACCUCGGCUCUUACCUACAUAACUCUAUGUAGUUCAUAGAAUACAAACUAUAAUGUUCUAUGAUUGACAGAAGUAACAUCUACUGAAAUUUGGUUACUGGCAUUCUUAAUUGUUUUUU